rnacentral:misc_RNA from 1 species
AACGCACCUUGCGCUCCUUGGUAUUCCGAGGAGCAUGCCUGUUUGAGUGUCAUGUUAAUCUCACUCUCCUUGACUUUGUUGUCUCGGAUAAGUGGACUUGAAGGUUGCCGGCCCCCCUUUAGGGGUCAGGCUCCUUUCGAAUGUAUUAGCUGGGCUUUCGCUCGUCCUUUGGUGUGAUAGUUUUAUUCACUAUUGGACUUGUGAUUUCGGUCUGCUUCUAAUCGUCUUCGGACACAUUCUUGACUCUGACCUCAAAUCAGGUAGGACUACCCGCUGAACUUAA